UGGGGAAUAUUGGACAAUGGGGGCAACCCUGAUCCAGCCAUGCCGCGUGAGUGAUGAAGGCCUUCGGGUUGUAAAGCUCUUUUGGCGGGGACGAUGAUGACGGUACCCGCAGAAUAAGCCCCGGCUAACUUCGUGCCAGCAGCCGCGGUAAGACGAAGGGGGCUAGCGUUGUUCGGAAUUACUGGGCGUAAAGCGAGUGUAGGCGGUUGCCGUAGUCAGGUGUGAAAGCCUUGAGCUCAACUCAAGAAAUGCACUUGAUACUGGGUGACUAGAGGACCGGAGAGGAUAGUGGAAUUCCCAGUGUAGUGGUGAAAUACGUAGAGAUUGGGAAGAACACCAGUGGCGAAGGCGGCUAUCUGGACGGUUACUGACGCUAAGACUCGAAAGCGUGGGGAGCAAACAGGAUUAGAUACCCUGGUAGUCCACGCCGUAAACGAUGGGUGCUAGACGUUGGCGAGCUUGCUCGUCAGUGUCGCAGCUAACGCGUUAAGCACCCCGCCUGGGGAGUACGGCCGCAAGGUUGAAACUUAAAUGAAUUGACGGGGGUCAUAGCUGUUUCCU
rnacentral:rRNA from 1 species